UGGAGGCGGGGCUCGGGUGGGGCGGGGCCUGAGGCUCCCUCCGCUGAUCUCCGGCCUCCCCGAGGCCACUUGACCCCGGAAGCAGGGUGCGGGGCUCCGGUGCGGCGGGACCCUGCGGUGCGAGCCUCAGAUCCUGGCCGCAGCGAUGUUUCACUUCUUCAGGAAGCCUGUGGAACCGAAAAAGCCCUCGGUGUCAGACACGGAAGCAGAUGGCUUUGUCCUUUUAGGAGAUACAGAAAAUGAGCAGAGAAUGGCAGCAAGAGGUAAAACUUCAGAAGUAGAAGGCGACCAACCGACUGGCAAAGAAAACUCAUCCAUUGGGACUGUAGCAGGCCCUGGGGCAGAAACUAAGGCAGGCCAGCUUCUGGAAAACAGCUCAUUCAUGGCCGAGCUUCUGAGCGACGUGCCCUUCACCUUGGCCCCGCAUGUGCUGGCUGUGCAGGGCACCAUCAGUGACCUUCCAGACCACCUGCUCACCUGUGACGUCAGCGAAAACUUAUCACGGUUUUGCCAAGAAGAUUGUUGACAGGUUUUCCUUUGUGUCUUCUGUUACAAAGACAAAAGACUUUGGACUUGAACUGAAACAUCAGUUAUUCUUGGGUAUCCAGAGUGGAACUAUCCAUCAGCUCCCCUGGGUCUCUAACUUGCUGACUGCAGACCUUGGUACUUCUUAGCCUCCAAAAUCAUCUAUCUCCCAGUUCUGAACUCUUGAUGGAAUGAUCAAGACAGAAUAUAACGGCAGAAGAAAAAAAAAAACCCUUUAAAGGAUCCUGGGAUUCAUCUAGUCCAGGCAUCUGCAACUAUGACCCACUGGCCAACUCUGGCCUCACGCCUGUUUCUGUAAAUAACAUUUUAGUGGAAAACAAGCAUGCCUGAUUAAGUAUUUGUAGAGCUGCUUUCACAAUGAGGUCCAAGGCCAAAAUAUGUACUAUCUCAUCCUUUACCAAAAAGGUUUGCUGAGCCCUGCUCUAGUUCAACCUGACCACUCAGGAGGUGAGAAAACAUAUCCCAUAGAGAGAACCAAGUACUAGUAGUUCAGGGCUAUCCACUCAGACAAAGGAAUACAGAACGCCAGGCAUUGUCCUCAGCGGCUCCCGUAAGAACUCUGGUUCCCUGAGAGUCAAAGCCAUCCUUCAUGUAUUAGUAGAGAAGCGGACGCUGCAGCAAGUUUGUAUCUCAUUACAAUUUUCAAAGAGUCCUCCAUAUGACAAACCCAAAAAGAACAGUGUGACAGAAGUGUGCUUUGAUGUUAGUCCAAAAUGAAUAAAUGGCAUUUUUUUCACACUUGUACAAAACACAUGAGCAGCCUAACAUUUAGGCCCAGUUUCUAAUAAUGGAAAAGUCCUUUUUCAUUAAUGAGAGAAUCGUAAGGAUCAUCUUGUCUUUCAAAAAAUAUACUAAUUAUCUGUCAUGAAAUAGUAUCCCCAUUGUCCAGAGAUUGUGCCUGAUGGUGUGAAUUCUUAUUUUCUCAAGUUAUUGGAUUCACCAAAUUGACAAAAGCAUAUAGGUGAGUGAGUGUGUGUGUGUUUGCAUAGUAUUUUAUGUACUUUAUACAUGUGUCUAAAAUAAAAUGAUAUGAUGAUGCUAGGUGUCA